rnacentral:rRNA from 2 species
GACUAACAGGAUUCCCCCAGUAACUGCGAGUGAAGAGGGAAGAGCUCAAAUUUAGAAUCUGGCAGCCCUUGGCUGUCCGAGUUGUAAAUUAGAGAAGUGUUAUCCGCGCUGGACCUGUGCAUAAGUCUCUUGGAAAAGGGCAUCAUAGAGGGUGACAAUCCCGUCUUUGGCACAGACUCCCAGGGCUUUUGUGAUGCGCUCUCGAUGAGUCGAGUUGUUUGGGAAUGCAGCUCUAAAUGGGUGGUAAAUUCCAUCUAAAGCUAAAUAUUGGCGAGAAACCGAUAGCGCACAAGUACCGUGAGGGAAAGAUGAAAAGAACUUUGAAAAGAGAGUUAAACAGUACGUGAAAUUGUUGAAAGGGAAACGCUUGAAGUCAGUCACAUCUUUCAGAAAUCAACCUGACCUUUUUGUCUGGUGUACUUUCUGUUAUGAUGGGUCAGCAUCAAUUUUGAUCGUUGGAAAAAGGCCUUGGGAAAGUGGCAUCUCCGGAUGUGUUUAUAGACCUUGGUUCAUACACAGCGGUUGGGAUUGAGGAACUCAGUGCUUUUGCACUCAGGAUGCUGGCAUAAUGGCUUUAAUCGACCCGUCUGAAACACGAUCCAU